rnacentral:rRNA from 1 species
UACGUAGGGGGCAAGCGUUGUCCGGAUUUAUUGGGCGUAAAGAGCGUGUAGGCGGCCAGGUAGGUCUGCUGUGAAAACUCGAGGCUCAACCUCGAGACGUCGGCGGAAACCAUCUGGCUAGAGUCCGGAAGAGGAGAGUGGAAUUCCUGGUGUAGCGGUGAAAUGCGCAGAUAUCAGGAAGAACACCAAUGGCGAAAGCAGCUCUCUGGGACGGUACUGACGCUGAGACGCGAAAGCCGUGGGGAGCGAACAGG